GCUGUUUUGAUGCUCCAGCUAAGGAAAAUCUUUGAAGAUGUUUUUUUCCUCAGAAUGAAGCUCCCCACUGCUACACUAGACAGAAGAUAAAAAAUGCUAGAGUAAACCCCAAAUGAUGGACAGUUCUUCUUUCACAGCUUCAAGCCUGAUCCAAAGCCGCUGCAGCCUUUUCGUGGACUCAAGAGGGAGGGCAGACAGGUGAGAUGAAGCUUUGACCACAAUAAGCAUGAAACUCUAUGGAGC
rnacentral:lncRNA from 1 species